GACGAACGCUGGCGGCGUGCUUAACACAUGCAAGUCGAACGGUAAGGCCCUUCGGGGUACACGAGUGGCGAACGGGUGAGUAACACGUGGGUGAUCUGCCCUGCACUUCGGGAUAAGCCUGGGAAACUGGGUCUAAUACCGGAUAGGACCCUGGGAUGCAUGUCCUGGGGUGGAAAGCUUUUGCGGUGUGGGAUGGGCCCGCGGCCUAUCAGCUUGUUGGUGGGGUGAUGGCCUACCAAGGCGACGACGGGUAGCCGGCCUGAGAGGGUGGCCGGCCACACGGGGGCUGAGAUACGGCCCAGACUCCUACGGGAGGCAGCAGUGGGGAAUAUUGCACAGUGGGCGCAAGCCUGAUGCAGCGACGCCGCGUGAGGGAUGACGGCCUUCGGGUUGUAAACCCCUUUCAGCACCGACGAAGCGCAAGUGACGGUAGGUGCAGAAGAAGGACCGGCCAACUACGUGCCAGCCGCCGCAGUAA
rnacentral:rRNA from 1 species